UACCAGCUCUCCGAGUGGUAGGGAUGAUUAUUGGGCUUAAAGCGUCCGUAGCCGGCUUAGCAAGUUUCCUGUUAAAUUCAGCGACCUAAUCGUUGAGCCGCGGGAAAUACUACUAGGCUAGGAGGCGGGAGAGGUCGACGGUACUUCUGGGGUAGGGGUGAAAUCCUAUAAUCCCGGGAGGACCACCAGUGGCGGAGGCUGUCGACUAGAACGCGCUCGACGGUGAGGGACGAAAGCUGGGGGAGCGAACCGGAUUAGAUACCCGGGUAGUCCCAGCUGUAAACGAUGCGGGCUAGGUGUUGGGGUGGCUACGUGCCACUUCAGUGCCGCAGGGAAGCCAUUAAGCCCGCCGCCUGGGGAGUACGGCCGCAAGGCUGAAACUUAAAGGAAUUGGCGGGGGAGCACCACAAGGCGUGAAGCUUGCGGUUC
rnacentral:rRNA from 1 species